AGUGAACGCUGGCGGUAGGCCUAACACAUGCAAGUCGAACGGCAGCACAGUAAGAGCUUGCUCUUACGGGUGGCGAGUGGCGGACGGGUGAGGAAUACAUCGGAAUCUACUUUUUCGUGGGGGAUAACGUAGGGAAACUUACGCUAAUACCGCAUACGACCUACGGGUGAAAGCAGGGGAUCUUCGGACCUUGCGCGAUUGAAUGAGCCGAUGUCGGAUUAGCUAGUUGGCGGGGUAAAGGCCCACAAAGGCGACGAUCCGUAGCUGGUCUGAGAGGAUGAUCAGCCACACUGGAACUGAGACACGGUCCAGACUCCUACGGGAGGCAGCAGAGGGGAAUAUUAGACAAUGGGCGCAAGCCUGAUCCAGCCAUACCGCGUGGGUGAAGAAGGCCUUCGGGUUGUAAAGCCCUUUUGUUGGGAAAGAAAAGCAGCAGGUUAAUACCCCGCUGUUCUGACGGUACCCAAAGAAUAAGCACCGGCUAACUUCGUG
rnacentral:rRNA from 1 species